rnacentral:rRNA from 1 species
GCAUACCUACGGGGCGCAGCAGUGGGGAAUAUUGCACAAUGGGGGAAACCCUGAUGCAGCGACGCCGCGUGAGUGAAGAAGUAUUUCGGUAUGUAAAGCUCUAUCAGCAGGGAAGAAAAAAGACGGUACCUGACUAAGAAGCCCCGGCUAACUACGUGCCAGCAGCCGCGGUAAUACGUAGGGGGCAAGCGUUAUCCGGAUUUACUGGGUGUAAAGGGAGCGUAGACGGAGCGGCAAGUCUGAAGUGAAAGGAAGGGGCUUAACCCC